CUAUUUGGCCAAACCUCUUUCUCAAAGUCUGAUCUCGUCUGUUCUCUGAAGCUAAGCAGGGUCGGGUUUGGUUACUGUAGUCCUUGGAUGGGAGACCACUGGGAACACCAAGCGUCACAGUGG
rnacentral:rRNA from 1 species